CGAUCUCCUUCUUCCCUUUCCCCUCCUCCGCUCGAGGGAAGAUGUCAGAGGGUUAAAAUGUCCUGCUCGCCCUCUCCCUUGAUCUCGGGGAGAGAGGUAAGAGUUGCUGGCACCUUUAUGGGACUCAGACCUGCGGCGGCUGCGGGAAGCGUCGGCCCCCGCUAACUUUGAUCGGCCUUAUUCAUCCCAGCUGCGCUCUAUUUGUUUGUCAUUUCGCCUUUUUACUCCCCGAAUCGUUAUUUAUGGUCUGAAAAGUGAAACGCGCGGUGAUUUGCCUUUACAUGGACUCUUUGCAAACGGGGGUAGACACCUCCUCCCCUCCCCCUCCCCGCGAGGGGGGGCUGCCAAAAGAGAGGGGGGAAAAAACCUGUCUCAAUCAUUAUCAAAUCAGCUUUGAAUUCAUUACUCCAGAGCAUUAACUAAUUACCAGAUCAGAGAGAAGAAAAAAUAAAUAUCCCUUUAAAUAACUGAAGGCAUUCUUUAAGAGCCCGAGCAGCAACAAUAUCCACACAGCCGCCGAACAAGGAGCAAUAAGAUUUUUUUUUUUUAUUUUUGUCUCCUGCACAAAUAUUCGGGAGUAUUUUGAAAUCCCCCGUCACGGAGGACACAAGACGGAGUGGAAAAGUGACUUUUUCUGCCUGUGUGCUUUCCUGCCUUUCCGAGACCAGCAGGGCAGGGGUGGCACCUCCCACCCUCAAUCCCUAAAUCCCGAAAGGAUCCAGGUUCACGGUGACCACCCCCGGGGCCGAGUGGCCACGUCCCUCUGUCCCUUACUCUGCUCUAGGAAAAUGCAGCCGUCUCGCCUGCCUCUCUGUUACAGGGGCUGAGCAAGUCGGGGACAAGUACGUGAGUGGAGAGGGGAGAGAAAUGCAGAUGCCCAUUGCGCUUUGCAUUAACUUUUCCCUUAGCCGGGCCCGUUUCCCUCCAGCCGAGAGCUGGUGCGCAGCAGCAGUUCUCAUGUCUGUCUGUCUGUCUGUCCGCUGCUGGCCUGGGCUGCGUGUUACCUCCGUCCGUCCCCAUCCCUUUCCUCAGCCUCCAGCCAAACAAAGGGAGAGAGGAAAAAAGCAGCCCAGGAAGUGUAAAGUGGAAAGCGACCCUCUUCCUAUUUGACGACAGCGCCAAUUCCUCCGGGAUCCCACCUGAGAUUAAAGCCCGAAUUUCAAUAAAUCAGCUCUAAUGAAACCUCUGGCCCCGAAG
rnacentral:lncRNA from 1 species